rnacentral:lncRNA from 1 species
UCUCCAUUUGGCUGACUAGAAAAGGAAAUGAGCGGUGAUUUUUCUCACUACAUUUCUUGAGUGCGCAGGUAGGGAGGUUAGGAUGAGGCACCACCUCAUCUUUUGGUUUGUUUUAUAUCUUAUCUUGAUAAGAGACAAAGCUAACUAAUUUUAAACCAAUCCUAAUCUAUUAGGAGUUGGUUUUGGCAUGGAAAAGGGCCUCUUCCUAUGUAACAAAAAAUAUUUAAGGUGGGCAUGAAGGCAUGAGGGAUUUUUUUUCUUUGGGUGCAUGCGCCAUAACCAUUUUGCCACCCUCCUUUUCUCAUCCAUGCCAAAUUUUCUAUCACCCCCUUUUCUUCCUUGCCCAAGAUCAGAUCUAAUCUGAUUAAGGCCAUUAGGAGUUAGUUAGGGAGUUAUUUUGUGCAACAAAAUAAAAGUGAGAGAACUAGGGCGUGUGCAAGCGGUUAUACAUGACUUGUUAGCACCCCCUCUUUCUCCUCAACUUCCUCUUCCUCAUUCUUGUUCCCAACGUCCACUUCCACCUCUAGAUAAAGAUCUGAGAGGGUUUAGGUAGAGAAAAGAAUAGAUGAAGAAAAAGGUUUUCUUCAUCUUGUCUGGUGAUCAACAAAUUUGCAUGAAAGGUUCGUGCAACAGUCCCUAAUGCAGCCCUAUUUUUCAAGAUUUAGAAGAAGGGCUCAAAUUUAAGCUGAGGAGUGAGGCCUGCAAGGUGCCAGCACACCGAUGGUCUCGAUACUUCGAUCGGAUAUCUCCAUGCGGAUACCAAC